UGAAUCAUAGACUAUAUAUUACAUGGACUGCCAACUCUACGCACUAAGCCUAUAUUUUUCAAUAAACAAGUCCCGUUCACGGAGGCGUCCUUGGUUGCGUGGUAAAUUGACUUCCGGUAGAUUUUUUUUUUACGUAUAAAGAAACCAUUCUCGAAGAUUUUUACCACCACUUUUACAGCAAAUCAUGAAUGGAAACUGAAUUGUUAAAGAAGAUGUUACAGAGGAGCAUACUACUUCCACAAACCUGAUUUGAUUGUCACUAACUUUCAAAUUGAAAGGGAUCUACUACAACUGCUCAUGAAUUUCGAGAUUUUACAGGUAAUAGAGGAACAAAUUUUAUCUGCUUCCACUUAGCCAAACAGCAUGGAAAUAUGCUAUUGUAAUGAGUAGAAGAUAUUUGUCAUUUAGAGUAUCAUGCAACAGCUAAUUAUCAGUCCACACAUUUCAAGAUGAGGAAAAGAACAGUAUAAGCUACAUUCAUUGAUGCAUUAUUUAUACAAAAAUGUAUAGUCAACCCAGUCAUCACUCCAUUUUUUUAUGAAGCCAGUUACAGUUACCAUGAAGGGAUGAAAUUUCAGAUAAUAUUCUGUUUAUUUCAUGAAAUGAGAAUAGGCCUACAUCAGAAAUUGAGAUGGUCAUCUUCAGUAUUUAAUGUUUCAUCUAAAAAUGAUAAUUAUAUUAAUACAUAUUUGAUGUACAAACAAAUGAAAACCAUUCAAACACUUUUUUUUGUGAAGUAUAGAUGAUUAAACUUGUAAGUGUCUGAACAAUACUACAUCGACAUUAACUUAUUAUUAUAGACUUUUUACAGGAAUGUAUCUUAAGCUGGACUGAAAGAGAAAGUUGCUAUAAUUUAAAUAAUAAAAUUUAAUAGUCUGAACAUGCAACUAAAAAUUGAAUAAUGCUAACAUUUAUUGACAAGUGAAUAUUGGUAAUGAUGUGCUUUCUAUUUUAAUAAGUCAAUAAUAUUAGUAAGAACAAUAUUAUCUUCACUUUCUUAAUAUUAUAAACACAAUAUUUCCUGAAAAGAUUUUUUUAAAUUAUAGAAAUAAUGCUCAAGUCUUCAGAAAUGGUAGUUUUCAGAAUCAUCAAAUCAAGGACAACAUAGUAUUCAUGAACUUCCAGCUAUCAGCAAGCUCCUAGUAGGUAUUAUGGAGCACAUUCUCCUUCAACUCAGAGGAUCACAGGCAC